rnacentral:lncRNA from 1 species
CAUGAUUGUGUUGUAUAAAAAAAUUUAGGUUUUAACUCAAAAAUUACUCUUAUCCUUCAAUAGUUUUGGUUAAAAAUUUUAGGCCGAGAUUAUUAAAGAAUGAUUUUAGCUUAAUGUUUUGUCGGUUAAUUUUUUUUAAAGUAAAAUUUAUGUAAAUUAGCUUGAUUUAUUUAUGAACAUUUUAACUUAAAAAUAUUUAAAUUCCGAUAAACCUGCCCCUUGAAACAUGGAAGUCAUGGAACAAUAAUUACAUUUUUAUAAAGAUAAGGAUUACAACUUUGAAACUUGAAAUAGUUCUAUAUGCUUCAAUCUUACAAUAAUUAAUAAUACAAACAUAAUUAAAACACUAAAUAAAGAUUAAUAAACGAUAAGGAAAAUACUACAUAAGAAUUACAAUAAUUACUAAUAUUAAUAAUACUCAUCAACAUUUGGUUGACUUGGUCCUUGAAUUUGUGGUGGAUUUCGUGGUGGACUUGGGUAAUAGACAUUAUAUUGGUCAUCAUCCUCAAAGGUAUUCCUUACGGCAUUCCUUAAUUUCCGCUUGCUUGUCGCGGAAUAAUUUCUUUCUAUUUUAGGUAUAUUUGUUGGGGUCCUCCCUCGUUACAUCAAAAUCAAAUGUCAUCUUGUAAGGGUCCUCCUUCUAAUAUGAUAUUUUGCUAUCUUGAAAAUUUUGGAAGUCGGUAGAAAAAUGGAAGAAUUGUUUGAGGAAAGUGAAUUUUGGGUAAAUGUUUGAACAAAUUCAUGUAUUUAUAGAGUUUUUGGAUGAAUUUUGAUUUAAAUAAUUUCUUUUAAAUGUUUUAGCCGUUGAAUUUAAUUUUGGACCGUUAGAUCUUUUUUUACAGUUAAUUUAAUAUAAGAAUUCAGCCGUUCAAUUUAAUUUAAUUAUAAAUUUGAUUUCAAAAAAUUUGAAUAUGUACUGUUGGAUCAACCAAUUGCUCAUCAUUUCCAGUCAUUGGGACCCAGGAGUUGAUGACUUGUUGCAUGAGAUGUUUCUGAUGCGUUGCUUAGCUACAGCUUGGCACUUUGUAGGCGUGUUCAUGAGCUAGGGCAAUCACUCUCCUUGGCUCAUUUUUUUUUUAAGGGAGUGUUAACGAAAAGCCCACGGUACUGUUCAUUUUAACGAAAAAUCAUAUUUUUACACUAAAAAGUCAAUCAUGGUACUAUUCACUUUACCCUUUAUUUUAUCCUUAUCGUUAAAACUCAAAGUUUUCAUGCCUUUUUCAUUAAUUUUCCUUUUUUUGGGAGUGUUAACGAAAAGCCCACGGUACUGUUCACUUUAACGAAAAACCAUAUUUUUACACUAAAAAGUCAAUCAUUGUACUAUUCACUUUACCAUUUAUUUUGUCAUUAUCGUUAAAACUCAAAGUUUUCAUGUCAUUUUCAUUAAUUUUCCUUUUUUUAGAGAGGGGAGGUGAGAAUUUGGCCCAAAAGCAAGUUUUAACAUUUUGAAACUCAAAAUUUGAGUUUUAAACCAAUCAUUGUAUAUGGUCCUUGGAGUUCCACAAAUGUAUUUUGGCAAUUUGGAUGACUUUGGAGUCUUUUAUAAAUGCAAUUUGGUAACUUGGAUAACUUUGGAGUCUUUUUAUAUAAAUGCAAUUUGGCAUUUUGGCCAAAGUCCAAGUCGAUUUUAGAGUAGCAAGUGGCCCUCUACCACAGUGGUAAAGAGAAAUGUUGUCCUUGCAUCACAGAAUGAGUUCGAAUCUUAUCAGCUACCUAAUUAAACAAAUCUAUCGUUUGAAAAAGAAAAAAGAAAAAAAAAAAGAGUCGAUGUUCGAGUCUUCCAUCAAUACAGUUUGGCCAUUUGGCCAAAGUCCAAGUCAAGGGCCAUAAAUGCAAUUUGGUAAUUUACUUCAAAUUUUUUCUUCGAAGAAUAAGAGCUUGAUGAUCUUAAUUGAUACUUCCAGUUUUAUUCUUAGUAUUCUCCUUUAUUUCAUAUGACUGUGACAAAAUAUUUUGUUUUCCACAAGAAAAUUACAUCUUCAUGACUCAGUGUCUCUCAGACUACGAAAAAGUUUUUCCAAUUAAUAAUUUUUCCUCUUGACGGAGUCUUCCAUAAAUUGACUCACUCCAAGUCAAAAGUCUUCAAUUGUCGCCAGCUAGUACAGUGCACCACUUUGUUUUAUGGAGCCCACCCCACUCCUUCUAGAUUUGAAUCCCAUUUGGAUCCAAAUUUUGGGGAUCAUAUUCCUAAUGAUCUUCGUAUCUUAAUCAUUCAUUGUGCAAUAAAAAAUUAUUUGACUUUUUUUAUUUAAAAUUAAACGUAAAUAACAUCCGACGAAAAUUGACCGUACGAUGUACGAUGAACGGCUAUAAUGUAGAGAUCUCUAUGAUUCCCACAAAAUGAACCCGGAGAAGAUCCUCUUCCACUCCUUCGAACGGUUAUCCCGGAUGUGUGUAAUUGUCAAUCUUUCUUCUUCUCAAAUAUCACUAUAUCAACCCCUCUUCUUCAUUUCUCAUUUAUUUUUAUGUUCAAAUUUAUCAAAUAAUCUAAAGAAUCAGUUGUAAGUUGUAAUGCUGGUGAACUUUACGUUUUAUCUCUUUGAGGCAAUCAUCUAAAGAUUAUUAAGAAUCAGUUGUAAGUUGUAACACAUACUGUGUAAUGAUGUUUAUCUCUUUAUUUAUAAAUAAAAGGUAUUAUGUUCAACUUCUAUGAGCAUUAAUAUUUUUGAAAACUUAAUUAUGGUCAGUUUGGGGUUGCUUAAUUUUUUUUUUUUUGAAACAGCUUCUCGAAAAAGUUGAGUCCUUAAUUGUGUUUGGUAAAUAAAAAAAUGUUUGUUCUUGUAAUUAAAACCCUAGUAUAGAUAUAUCGUUGUAUCAAAAUAAGAGAAUAACGUUAUUAAGCAAAGUCACCAAUGUGCAGAUUUUAUCAUGAAGGUGCUGAAAUUAAGUCACCUAAAUUAGAAGUUCUCCUAUCCGAAUUUGGACUAGAGCCAAAAAGAGAAAGGAUAUGACCAGAGAGUUGGGUAGGUGUAGAUCUGGGAAUCAAGGGCGCGGGGUAGGUGUGAAUUUUUGUGUCUUGAUGAUAUAAUUUCUCCUAAAUUAGAGCCGUUGAGGAUCACAUUAACAAGCUUCCAGGAAUACUCUAAAGUCGUCUAACAAACUAUAAUCAAUUAUAAACCAACCCAUGUAAGAGCAGCAUAUGUUAUAACUUAGGGACUCGCUAGAAAUUAGUGUUCACGCAUUGUUGCGAGAUUGAAAAUUAAAUGAAAGAUUAUAUUUGAAAUAUAUAAAAGUUAAACAACAACAACGAACCCACAUGCCAAUCCUACCUGAAGAAGCUUAUUAUAAUUCUAUAAGUGGAACAGGGGUGAGUAAUUCUAAGUGAAAGACCAACACAGAUAAAUUAUACAUUCUGAAUUUCUUGAUUACAAAAUGCACUCCUCACAAUGAAGUCUUCCACUGGACCAAUACUUUCAUUGGGCUCAGAUACUUGUAAUCCAGCCUAAUUCGAUAAACCCAGCAGUGGCAGUCUUGUAAAUAAAACGAAAAGACCAAAUGGCACAUAUGUAAUUAGCUUGAAAUCGAGGGGCCAUUCCAUAUGCAACAUGAAUAGUGCAAUUUCUUUUCCAGACUUGGGUAAUAUGCCAUAAUAUUCUCAUCACACACCAUUCCAAUUAUUAAUACCCCACCCUCCCUUUCCUUCCUCAUUGAUUUUCCACGUGGCAAAAUUUGGAUACGUUCAAUAUUGAAACAUUUGAAUGCAGAGAGAGGAGUUCGUUUGACAAAAAAAAAAAAAAAAAAAAAAGAGGACAGAGGAAGGAGUAAGAUGCCACAUGGAUGCAUGUAGUUGGUGUGCAACAAACAAUGCAUAAACAAGCACGUGUUCUAUAAAAAAAUUCCCAUGAGAAAGGGAGGUGGCGUGGAAUUGGUAGUAUUGGAGGUAGGUGGUAUAAAUUUGGUGACUUUGAAGUAGGGCUGGGCACAGGACGGGCCGGGUCCAAAUUUGAAGGAACCAGAUUGGAUCCGGGUUUAAAAGAAAAUGAUCGAGUUGGGGCGGGUACAUCAAAUUUUAAUACAGGAAUCGGACCUGUCGGACCGGGUCCACGAGUCCCUUUUUUUUAGGGGGGGGGAACUGAAUUUUUAGAGCAGACAGCACAGAUUCACAACAACAGCUACACAAAUUGAACACGGGUCCAAUUAUCACUGUAAGUCAGAACACAGGUGUUCGCAGGAAUCGCAACAUUCUCUCAGUUCUCUUUAAGGUGAAUACAUGUUUCAUAACCUGCCAAAUUGCAUGAAACGCUCCACUGAUCUAAAUUGCAUGAAACAUUCAAAUCUAGUUUACAUAAUAUAAUUAAAAAUAUUCAACAGAAUAUUCAAAUUCAAUCAAACAAAAGAUUUGAAAUUGGAACAGAAUAAAAGUCAAGAUUCAAGAACCUAACAAAAUCCCUAGGAAAUCAUAAUUUAAUUUUCAAUCCUAAAUCCCUAAAACAUAAUACCUUGAAACUGAAAAAGACUGUCAGCAGAGCUCGGCUUCCAUGCAAAUCUGAGUCAAAUAGAGGAGAUGACUGAUUCGUCAUUUUAAGUUGUUCGACUUCAUUGUUUGUCCCCUCGAGUUCGACAGAGAGAGACUGACUUCGUCAUUCGUCCCUUCGAGUUCGACAGAGAUAGAUUGAGAAUCGAGAGGGAUACGAGUUAGUCUGGACUCUGGGAGAAAGAGAUCGAGAGGGAGGAUUGAGUUUCAAUUCGAGUCAAAUGAGAGUCUUCGAGAAAGUGAUGUGAUGUGUGUGUGUGUGUGAUUUGAGUGGUGUGUGUGAGAUUUGAGUGUGUGUAUGUGAGACGACACUUUAUUGGAUACAGUUCGGGCCGGGGUGUCACAUCUCGGCCCGGGGUCCACCACAUCCCGGGCCCGAUCCACCACCGUGGCACGAUAUUGUCUGCUUUGGGCUCCGACUACGCCCUCACGGUUUUAUUUAUGGGAACUCACACGAGAACUUCUCAAUGGGUCACCCAUCAUGGGAUUGCUCUCGCACACUACUCGCUUAACUUCGGAGUUCCGAUGGAACUCGAAGCCAGUGAACUCCCAAAAAGCCUCAUGCUAGGUAGGGAUGGAAAUAUACAUAUAAGAAUCACUCCCCUGGACGAUGUGGGAUCUUACACGGGGGUCUUGUCUUCAUAAUAUUGGACCCGCCUCGCCCCUCUGUUUACUUGGACCCGUCCCGCCCCGUUUUGUAUAUAAAAUAAUAUGGACCUGCCCCGUACCCGCCCCCUUUUAGAAAAAAGACUUAAUAUAAAUUUGGUGAUUUUGAAGAGUUGCUUUGUUUGGUGUAUUCUUAUUAAUUAAAUCUUUUUAGCAAAAACUUAAAUAGGAGGCCAUAUUAUGCCCCUUCUACCUGUAAAUAAGUCUUUUAUCUAAAUUAUUAUCCAAAUCUUCUUAUCCAAGUAAAAAAUAAAGGAACAAACACACAUACAUUAACACAAGGAUUUAGCAGUUACCCAUUACUUAUCUUCUCAUUACCCAUGUAAUCAACUUCUAUCAUCCACAUUAAUAUUUUGUACUAAAAAGAAAAAGAAAUUAAACUUGUAUUAUUAUUAGAGGAAAAAAUAAGAGCAAAAGAAUUGAAGUCAAAUUAACAUUUUUAUUUCAUGCUUGCGUGUUUCUUUUGUGUGCCCGUUGUCUUUCUCUACAAUUUGUCCAUGAAGAUUUAUUGUUGUUUUCAUUAGUUUGUCACAAGCAACUAUAGUAAAAAGGGGACAAAAGCAAGUGCGAUAAGAUAUGCUGGCAAAGCAAUGUAGAAGGACAUGGGCAGAGGUGCGCGUGGCCGAGGGGUUCCCAAGCCAGGGAAGCUCAAACAAACCCAAGAAUUGUUUUAUUCACACCCUACAUAUUGUUGACUAUACCUACUUAUUUAAUACACUCCACUUUUGUUUUUUAAGGAAAAGUAAGUUAUUCAUUGCAUUGAAAUAGAACACAUUCAAACUGAGGAUAGUGUGCAUAAUGGGCCUCAAUAAAAUCUUACGGGAGCUUUCAACCUGGUCGAAGGGAAAAAAGCGUCUCGCACAACACAGAGAACUAUUCUAAAAUGACAAUACAUAACAAAACAUAACAAUUUACAAGCUUUCUUCGAAUAAAGUAUCCCUAAGCAAAUCAAGGGGGUCUUCAAACCACAAGAGCUGUUGAUUACUUACAACUCCCACUCGAGCAAGCCUGUGCGCAGCCGAGUUACCUCCCCGUUGCACAUAGUUCACCAACGACUGAGGAAAAGACUGGAGCAAAAAAUGCAGAUCAUUAAUGACAGGCCCCAAAAAUGAACAAUCCUCCUCCUGACCCUUCAUGGCAACCAAAACCAAGCUAGAGUCACUUUCAAAAAUCAUCCUUUUACCAACAUGGCAAAACGUUUGGGCCAGCAACACAGCCUGACGAGCAGCAAAAAGUUCUGCAUGGAACGCAGAACAUGUCCAACCAAUCGAACCCGUAGUUGCAGCAAUGAAAACUCCCCUAUGAUCUCGCAUAACAGCACCAAAGCCUCCCCCUCGAACCUUGCAGGAUCCACCAUUAAAAUGAAUUAAAAAUAAAUUUGACAUUGUCAAAUUUGACUUCAAACCACAAAACUUUCAAAUCUAGUCAGCAAAUAACACUUUGAUUGGAGAGACUUUUAAUGUCAAAUAUGCACAGAGACAUUCCAACUAAGAUUUUGACACCUCAUUCUCAUUUGGAGAUGCUAUUCAAUUCCGCAUUAGCUUUAGAAAAAAGAACAAGCCUUUCGUGAAAAAAGGUUUUUCCAGAAGAUGAACAACUUGACAAGAUGACACAGCACAACUCCUCGAAAUGGCAUAUAACAUUGAUACGAAUAUUGGUUUCAUAUUUGUGAUUUCAGGCAAGUGUGAUUGAUUCAAUCACGAUGGUUAGCGUUCGACUGCUAUAUACAGAAAACCUACGUUUGAACAGUGUCUUCUGCCUGCUGCGAUUGGUAUGUGCAUCGAACAAACCACACGGUAACUCGUGUGAACUCAGGAACUUAAAAUAAUAAAAUGGAGAAAGUGAAAGGCUCCAUUUUGAGAUGCUAGUAAGAUAACAUGACGUGGAACAAAUGGCCAAAUGAAUUGAAGAGGAAAUGGACCAUUGGCAGGCAAAAGGAAGCAGUGAGAAUUUGCGAAUUUGUUGUCUGAACUCCGAUUUGCGUUUAUGAUACUUUUUUGCAAAGGGAACGACUCACCGUUUAAGUUAGGUAUGACAUACGAUGGAUUUUAGUUUAAGUUAGCUAUGACAUACGAUGGAUUUUAGUCAUCCGAAGAUGUUUCCCCCCAAAAUGCAAUUUCAAUUUCCGUAAUAAAAAAAAGGGAACAUUUGAGUUGCUAGCGUUCCUUUGUAUGGUACUAAGAAGUUCCCCUUUCUCAAACGGGAUCAAGGCUUCCAUCCAUACCAUAGAGUCCUGUUAAGCAACAUAUUGCUUUCACUUUAUAUGGGUACAGACUCCACUCUUGAGUAUCAAAAGUAAACAGUGAAACAAGCACUCGUACCUUCAAUUUCUUCUGAACUGCAGAAUUCAGUUAUACCCUCACCACUCAGAGCAGAUAUGCAAAUCACAUCAUCUCUCUCUUCUGCUUCCAACUUCAUCCUUUCAGGAUCGCUAAACUUAUCAACCUGCAAAAUAAGUAGCCGUGUAUCAUCAAUCUUGUGUAUACGCUUCACAAAUGAAAUCCAGUACAUGAUCAUCGGUAUUUAUAAAAGAAAGACCCACGCACACUCCAUGCAAAUAAAAGAACAACCAACACCACACAAUUCACUGAUAUGGUGAUUAAUAUCAAUCCCUCAUUUCACAACAUUGGAUUAAUAACUGAGCCAUCCGGGAAAUUCGCCCUGCCUUGUUCCACACCAUCAACUUUGGAAUUGCAGACACGUCUAUCUGUUGCUCAGCUAGUGGAUGACUGAAGUCAAUAUCAACAUAUCCAAUAAGAUACCAAUGUCCACCAUCGCGAAUGCAUCGUUUAAAGGUUUCCAAAAUUGUACCUGAUAUCCACCACAUGCACCAAUGAUGGGGACUCUGAUAUCUCCUCUAGUGUUGCUCUGAAGGCAGCAAACUGUAAGAUGCAGUUAGUGGAAAGAAGUGCAAGACAUAAUCAGCUUGACUGACAUUGGACUGACAUUCGUCAAAACAUUUUUCUUGCAAUACAGUUGAAAAUGAACAGUAGGAGGCAGAGAAAUUAAACUGCACGGUAGCAGCUUCAUGAAUAAAUUGUGCAAGCAUUUUACCACUGUAGUUGGUAACUUCUGAAUGAAACCAACAGUAUCUUUGAGAAGAACUCUUUCCCAUUCUUCGUCUGGAAGAAAAUGGAACACACAUAUGUCUUACAACCAAAUGGAAGUAAAGUAUCACAAACUUAUAGAACCUGAAAUAUAAAAUUUUCAGCGUCAGACUAGCAUGUCUACUAGAAACAGACUUAAAAAGCAGACUCAAUGCAAAAGCCCGACGGUUGAACUGGAACUGAUUCAUAAUUAAUUAACUGAUUGCAUGAAGUCGAAAUUCAUGCAACCCCUGAAGCCUGUUCGGUACUACAUCAAAAUCAAAAUUUUGCUUCUCUGACUUUUCAGUUGUUUAUACGAUACACCAACACCGGGCAGAAACUAAAAAUCACCACCAAAUAAAUGUGGAUUCCACAAUGUCAAAGUAUUUACUGAUAUUGUCGACCAAUUAAAGGGCCUACUUGAGUUGCGUAAGAUACGCUUAUCCACUUCAAUUUACUUCUCACCCGUCCUCUUAACCUGUCCUCCUGCUUAAAGCUCAAGAUGGGUCCACACUUUUGUUAGCCGAGGUAACUGGUCUUCCAUUUGUGCCGAUGCAACGUAGAAGAGAUCACGAUUGAAAUAUUGUCAGCAUGAUAAUUCUGGAAAAUUUCUAUUUUGUUGUUACGUUACUAGUUACUACAACUGUACCAAGUAAGCUGUUGCCGUAUAUUCAAAUAUAACGAAACAAAUUAUUACCUAGAAUUAAAAGCACAAUGAUAAAUUGCCUGUAAAGCUGCUUCAUGUGUUGCAGCCCGCUGGUUAAAUUAUCCAGAACGAGGGCAGUGCAAUCACAAACUCUAACCUCCCCACCAAAAGCCUUUUCCAAAUUGGGCAAACGCCUAGUAACAUUUGAAACAAAGACAAAAACUUUAAACAUAGUAGUGCUUGAAAAGUUCUUGGAGAAAAUAAAAUUUAAACAGAAAAAUCUCCAUAGGUCUCAAAUCAAAGAUAAAGAGAAGAGAGUUCAAUUCUAAUCCAAAUGAUCCAACAGGCACAACAAAUUGAUCGAUGCGGGGGAAAGGGAGUCAGUAUCGGCAAAAUAAAACUGUGCAACUCAUGCAAAUCAGUCCACAGUGACCAUAAGCAUGUACGUGAUAACUAUAAAGUCAUGUUUCAUACCCUGAUGAGAGCUCAUCAUCAAAUAUCACAUUCUCAACUCCCAAUGCGUUAAUUUUUCUCUUGAUUUCUGAUAGGAUUUUUACUACUCAUGUGAACGGGCUUAAAUCUCCUAUUUUACUUGCAAGAAUCACAAGGUUAUUGUAGUAUAAACGGAUUUCGUAAGGUCGUCUCCACAGGAAUUAUUAAAUAAUUCGAACUAAUCAGAUUUCAUUUAAUUAUUGUAAAAUAGAAAUUGGGGUGAUUGAUUUUAUAACCUAAUUAAAAUAAAAAUGAAUUUAAUGAAUUAAAAUAAACAAUCUGCAAUAUUAGAGCUAGAGAGAAAAUAAAACAGUUUUGUGAGAAUAAAAUUAAGAAAGCACUAGGGAUCCACCAUCACCUAACAAUCCUAUGAAUUUUUACCAAUUACUUAUAAUCUACACAUGCCACUUUCAAGGUUAGAUUUUCCUAAUUCAUAUUCUACUUGGAACCUCCAACAUAGAACGUAUAUCUAACAUGCAAUCCGUCCGGACGUUCGGAUCAAAUCUAAACAUGAAAGACUCAUUAUGCUUUAUGAAAAUCCUUUGAAAAACCAUGCAAUCCUUAAGACGUGAUAUUCAUCCUAAAAGAAAUUACAAUUAUUAAUCACAAAAAGCCAGUGUCAAUUUCAAGGAACCUUCCGACCAAAAUUGCAUCAAAUUACUUUUCUAAAAAUCCUAAUGGUGAUCAGGCAUUAAAACAAUUAGAUAGUUUUUAUCUCGGUGAUUAACAAUUCAAAGUACGCAUGCAAUCAAUCAUAAGCAAUUAAAGAAAAAUCACAUAUUCAUGCUAAGGCUCAAGGCUUCACCCUAGCAAUAGAAAUUAGUUCCACAUAUUCAUAAUUGAAACCAUAGAAAAAUAUUCUUAAGAAAAUGAUUGAAAACACCUUCAAGAAAAUCUCCAAAACCCUAGCACUUCUCUCUGUCUCCAAAAUUGCAUAAAAUAAAGUGUAGUCUCAAACUGUAAACGGCUAAGCAAUAUAUUUGCCAAGCCACCACACAAACCCUAGGAAACAUAACCCUAAAUUAAAUAAUAAAAUUCGUCUAAAAUCUGAACAGCCACGUUUUGGCCCAUAAGCUGCUCCAAAACUGGCCCAAUAUAGCUGGAUUUAAUGUUUGGAAUAUUCUAAACACUUUUCCAGAAGGCCACGAAUCCAUCCGAGGUCAUCUUGGGCUCCAAAAACGCAAUUUAAGCCCAAAAACGUCACUUUCCAACACUGCGCACUGCUUCUUUAUUUCAUCGCCAGAAAAUAACCGCUUGGUGGAAAAAUCCCAAAUUUUGAUACGAUCAAGCUAAGUGACUCACAAACGUCCUCCAACUAGAAUUACUCCAAAAUUCGUCCAUUUGGUCCUGUUUUGCUCCAGAGGAAGUCGAAAAUCCUAUAUUGAAAAUACAAUUCAAAGUAUCAAAAUUCUUCCCAAAAUAUUAACCAAAAUAUACUAAGAUUAGGAUAAAAUAUAUAAUAUAAAAUCUACUCAUCAAUUUCUUGCCGGAUCCAAUCUAUGUCCUCGAGUUUGGAGAAACGAGUCUGCAUUACGUAUAGGCAUUAGCAAUUUGAAGAUAGGGGAUCAGCAUCAAAUAAUUGAGCACACAUUGACACAAACUACUAGGUUGGACAGCACUAUACUUAGGGCUGGGUUCGGUUCUGAUCGGUUCGGUUUUUUGUCAAAACCGAAACCAAAUCGAAAUUUCGGUUCGGUUCGGUUCGGCCCAAAUUUUUUUCGGUUUUUUUCGGUUCGGUUUUUUCGGUUCGGUUUCGGUUUUUUUUUUCCUCCAAAAAAUGCAAAACAACCACAACAUAAGAUAGACCCCUGUCACUUGAAUUACUUCUCCUUCUAUCCUCCUGUUCUUUUUUUCUUUUUUUUUCUUUUUUUUUUCUCAAAUCGAAGAUCAGAUUAAACGCCAAAUCCAUUAAAGCAUAAUCAAAACUAAAGUGCUUAACUUGAUAGUCGCUAAUUUCAUUUCAAUAACAAAAACACGAACCCAAAUGAAAUCGAUCGAAAUCAAUCGACGUUCUGCAUGAUAUCCUCUGCGGUGAACUUGGUGCCCUUGUCCUUGUCAGCGGCGGCGCGGCCCUUGGCCUUGCGGUCCAGCAGAGACUUGCGGUCCUUGUCGAGGCGGAGCUUGGUGAUGACGACCUUGGAGGGGUUGAUGCCGACAUUGACGGUGGACCCGUUCACCUUCUCUCGGGUGAUCCGCUCGAUGUGGAUGACCAACUUCCGGCGGUACACCUGGACGACCUUGCCCUCGCGGCCCUUAUAGGUCCCACGCACGACCUGGACCUCGUCGUCCUUGCGCACCGGCAUCGAUCGGACAUCUGGAGGAGAGGAGGCAGGGAACGAGAGAGAGAGAGGAAGGGAAUGAAAAAAAAUAAAAGGUAUGGGUAUGGUUGCUAGGGUUAAAGGGUUAAAGGGUUUUGUUAAGUUCUCCAAAAAAUUAAAAAACAUCUCAGACAUCCUGGAGGUUCGAACCCGUGCCUUGGGGCUUGAAAAGGUUCACCGAAACCAACUUAGCAACAAGGUAUGUUUUGUUAUGAUUGUAUGACUAAACUAUUUAUAAUAUUUAAAAAAAUAAUUAAAUAUAUAUAUCGGUUCGGUUCGGUUUGGUUCAGUUUCCGAACCUCAAAAACCGAAACCGAACCGGUCAGAUUCGGUUCGGUUCGGUGUUUUUUCGGUUCGGUUUUUUUCGGCCUCGGUUCGAUUUGGUUUUCGAUUUUUUUCGGUUUUCGGUUUUUUGAACCCACCCCUAACUAUACUAGCAAAGAACACGAAAGCAUCGAAAACUAAUCACUUUUUGUGCGUGGAACCAACAACCAUAAGUCCAGCAGUAUCAGCUAGCUGAGUCAAUUCCUUGAGUGAUUCCUCCACGCCAAACAAAUAUUCCUUUUUCUUCUAUGCUUGUGUAUUUCAACUCAUAAUCGGGUCAAUUUAUGAAAUCAAAUUAAUUUCUAAUAAUUUAGUACCAUUUGAGAAAUAUCAUUGAAUGGAUGAUUAUUGAAAUUUUGUAAUGAUUUUAUAGCAUUUUAUGAACAAACGAUAUUUUACACUAAAAAGAUGGAAAAGUGGGCUAAGCCACACAAUGAGCUAGCUAUAAUAAUGUGGUUCAAAUUCACUUUUGGCGACAGUUGAGCCUAACACCUCUUACUUACAAGUGAAGAAGAGUACCAAUAGAUCGUAGUACUAAGUUGACGUCAAACACUUGACCAUUGCCAAUGUGGGAAUUGAUUUUCCAUGAGACACCUUGUGGUGCCACUCAUGAGUGGGUGUUUCGGAGAACGUAGUCUCACACAUCGGCAAUUGUGUUUCUUUCUAGUUGAUUUAGUUUUUCAUUUUUUACUCUAAUUUUUUUAGUUUUAAGACAUGAAUGUCUGCUUAGAUGUGUUGGAUGAUAUUGGUUUAUAUGAAGCAUGUUACAUGAUAUAUGUUUGUGUGUAUUUUGUGCUGUAGUGAUUAGUGAGUGAGUGUGUUGACUAUUGAAACAACCUUGUGAUUCUAAAAUUUAAGAAAAUUUUGUUUUGGCUUCGUUUUGAGAUUUGCUCAUAGUAGUGUAUUAUUAUAAAUUAGCUGUUUUUGCAGCAAAAGAUAAGCUUCAUGUGAAGCACAAAGCAGUGUCAUUGGAACAGACACAUAAAGUGACACCUUUAUUCGAUUAACUCGUGUCACGAUGGUCUCGUGUGAUUGUGGAGGUUUACAUUUGUGGUUAUGGAGUCUGCAGGCAUUGGAUUGGUUUGUAAGCCUUGUUAGCUCGAUGUAAACGGUUAUAUCUAUAACUAUGCAGUUUUUUAAACGAUUAUUCAUCGUCGUAACUAUUAAUUUUAAAUGAACGGGUAACUGCGAUUAUUCACCCGCGAAUAUUUUGCACAUCUCUACCUGCGGCCAAAAACAUAAAGAGCGGGCCUCAUUGUAAAUUUCAUACCUAGUGGUUUGGUUGAGGCAACACCUGGGUGCAACUAGGGUCGGGACAACCUGAAUCCCUCCUACUCAACUAGAUUUUUAAACUUGAUGGGAGAGUUAGAAUUAACUAAAAACUUGCUCGAACCCAACCCCACCUUACUUUCAUUUUGUGUUGGGCUGGAGUUGGGUUGAUGUCUUGGCGCCUUUACUUGCCUAUGGCGUUCAAAUCCAACUCGAUCUAUAGCCUGAGUAAAUACCGCGAGAAGAUCUUAUGUGCGUGAAAUUUCUUCUCAUGGUUAGGGCUUGCAAAUGGAUGAUGACGUGUCUAUUGUUGCCUCUAACCAAUGAAGAGGAUCAUUUUCGGAUCCACUUUGUGAGGAUCAUAGAGAUUAUUACAUCUUAAUCGUUCAUUGUGUAUCGUACAAUCAGUUUUCGUCAGAUACUAUUUGUGUUUAAUUUUAAAUAAUAAAAAAUCAAAUGAUUUCUGAUCGUACGAUACACGAUGAAUACUUAAAGUAUAGAAAUCUCUCAAAUCUCCACAAAGUAUAUUUGGAUGGAAUUCAAUUCCUAGAAAAACCAAUAUCGUGUAGAUUAUAAAGCCAUUAUAUAUGUGAUGAUGGUUCUAGAAAAGAAAACAUUACAUAUUACAUGGAACAGUGUCGAUGACUUCAAUGAUGUAAGCAUUAACCUAUUAAAAAAUUUGGUUGAAUUAACGUUGUCCCAAAAGAUAAAAUAUAAAUAUUAUAAAAUAAUAAUGAUAAUAUUAUACAUAAAAUGUUUGUGCUCUGAUUUUUAAUAUUUUAUCCAAUUAGUUGGGCAUGUCGUUUUUAGUUUCACACCACAGAGUGUUUUUGUGUUGCCUUUCAUGCUUGCAACGUUGCAAUCCAUUUGAAAAGACUUAUUUAUCGAUUUGUCAUCCGAACAUGUAUAGAGUUGCCAAUUUUUUUUCCUAACAUUAGAUUUUGAAAUUUUUUUAUCCAAUUUUCAUCUAUCUUGAUCACGUAAACAAUACAUGGUAACUGUAUGAGGGCAAAAAUAUAAUUUUGUUUUGAUAAAUUGAGCACAAAGCCAAGACUUUGCAACUUCUAAUCAGAGAAGGCAUUGAGGGAGAGCAAAAUGUGUGGUCGCACAGGGCCUCAAAUUUGAAGGGGCCCCCAGAAUUAUUGUCGUCUAAUAUUAUGUAAUAAGUUCUAUAUUUAAAAAAAAAUGUUUUUGUUAGUACUUUAAAAUCUCUUUGUGCACCUCUUAUAAAAGUAAUUUUUUUUCUAAAUAUAAAAAUUUGAAGUACAAUGAUAUAUUUUGUAUGUCAGUAAUAACACCCAAAAAAUGAUAUAUAUAAUAAUAUUAUAUGUUCAAGUGAAACUUCAAAGUUAGAGUUUUUGGUUUUUUAUUUUUCAUGUUUGGUUGUUUAAUUAAGAAUGAACUGCUUUUGAUUAUUUAGUGAAGGUUAUAUUUGUAACUCUUUGUACGUAUAAUUAAUAACAUUUGUAAACUAGCAUUCAAUGAGUGUUAAAAUUUGUUUUGAUUUAAGUGACUGUUUUUUAACCUAAAUACAUAGUUUUAAAAAAAUUAAAAAUAAAACCUAUCUUAAGGAGGGGCCUUUCAAAUUUCGCAUAGGACAUCUAAAAUCUCAGAGACGGCCCUGCUUCUAAUUGUACUCCCAUAGCUAUUUCAAACAUAAAAGUUUCCAGAAUCAACUAGGGGAAAAGAAGAAGGAAAAAAAAUUAUUUGUUGUCCACAUUGUGGAUAAAGUUACUUUAUUGCCCUCAAACAUUUGUCAUGUAAUCAAAAUAGAUUGAAAAUUGUAUUGAAAAUUCCAAGAUCCAAGGGAGAAAUUUUGACUAAUUAUUAAAGCUCAUGACGCUAUCAGUUAAAAUUAAAAUUGAAAGAGAAAAAUAACAACUCUUUAUAAGUUCAGAAAAAAGAGGGAAAUCGACAGAUCCGAUAAAUACCUCUUGAAAAAAAAAAAAAAAAAGGCAGACAAAUUGGAAAAACCAAUAAAACCAAAUUUUACGUCGGAUGAGGUGGUCACUACGUCAUUUCAUGAAAUUAGUUUAAUGGGCUAAGUGGUGGGGUGGAAAUGUAUGGUUGGGUUUUAUAUCACGUAAUGUAAAACCUUGUAUAAAUUCAAAUUAAAAUAGACGCUAGUAAAUUAGUAAUUGAUUUGAAUAUUGGUUACAUUACACUAGAUAAAUCUUGGAGCAUUAAUUCUAAGGUGAAAUAGUCGUGUACAUGCCUUUUCUUUUACAUUUAUUAUUAUCUCAUUGCGUGAACAACACGUUUUCAUUUAUGAAAUAUGAUAAGUUUAGUAAUUUAUUUUCACAAUUCAACUUCUCUCAAUUUAAGGAACUGAAGAAGUGUUAAUAACAACUCCUUAUAUACGUCAUAUCCUACUAAAGGUUUUUUUGUUUUUUGUUCUUAGAGGAAAUGUGGGAUACUUUAGAGCCUGUUUAGUACUCUAUUUGAAUCCAACUUUUUGGACUCUAAAACAAUUUUUUAGUUUUACACUUUAAAUAUUUGUUUAGACUAUUUUAAAAAACUGAACACAAAAUUAACUUAAAGAUAGCCUAUUUCCAAAAAACACAAAAAGUGAUUUUUUUAUUAUUAUUUUUUUGGUUUUUAAACUCCAAAGUACUACUUUCUCUCUCCUCUCUUCUCACUUCUGAUAUUUCUCCGCUAACUCUCUAUCUCAUCUCCCUCUUCUUCGACCCUCUCUUUAGAUCUCUUUGUCUGUCCAAUUGAAUUUAGUAAUAAUUUUCAAAUUUACGAGGAGUUGGUGCAGGGUAUUUUUUUAUUUUCUUUUUAACUAUUAAAAUUUAAAUUUUGAAUCUCAUAGCAAAUUUGUUAAUCUUAAAAAAUAAAAUUAAAGAAGUUCUUAAGAAAUAUUUUAAAAAUUCUAAUUUUUUUUAUUACAAUACCAAACAGCUCCUGAUAUUCUAGUUUGCAUGCAUGUCGUAACAACAGCAUGUUUAUACUCUGCCUUAGCUUGUUUCUUUUUGUAAUUUACCAGUUUUUAUAAAAUGUAAACAACGAUUAAAAACUCUUUCUUGCAAGUAGAUUUUGUUGCAUUUGUAAUCAUGAAAUUAUAUUCUUGAUUGAUAAUGCUUCUCGUUCCAUUUGGUUAAUCAAAUAUUUAUCACCUUCAACCAGCCAUUAAUUUAUACAAAUUACUGGCUUCCCACUACACCAAAAGUCGUCUAAUAUGAUGGAGAAAAUGACAGUCUCCAUUUUCUGAACUCACUCGUGGCUUUUAAAUGCUUUCAUCAUCUUGUUAAUCCAUUGUUUAAACUUUAAUUAAUUACAAUGUUCUACAACAUUCUAUUUGAAAAAUAACACUUAGAAAUUGGAAAGGCGUGACAAAUGAUUUCAUCAUCCUUUUUGUUUUUUUUGUUUCCUCUUUUAGAUAUUCCACCAUUGUUAAAUUUAUUGUCGACCUAAUCAAGCCACUCCCUUCACUUCUUUUUAUGACCCUAUUUAAUUUCAUUAUUAUUUACUUUUGGCAUAAUUUGAAUUUAUAUUAAAAAAAAGAAUUAGGUUAAGGCAUAUAAUAGUCAUUAAAAUAAGAGUAAAUUGUAGCUAUGGUCCCUUAACUUUAACUUAAUUGGAGCAAUGGUCCCUCAACUAAAAAUCCAUUACCUUUGGUCCCUCAACUUUAAUUCAAGUGGAGAAAUUGUCCUUUAACUUUAAUCCAAUUGUAGCAAUGGUCUUACAAUAUAACUCGUUUUGACAAAUUUUUUGACAUAGUUGACGAAAAGAACCAUAAUUAUACACUUUGAUGAGUUGAGGGACCCUAAUUAUAUAAAUGGUCAUUCCAACAUAGCUUAUUUUGACAAAAAUUUUGACAAAAUUGAUGAAAAGGACUAUAGCUACACAUUUUGAUAAGUUGAGGGACCAAUGGUAAUGAAUUUUUAGUUGAGGGACCAUUGCUCCAAUUUGAUUAAAGUUGAGGGACCAUUUGUACAAUUUACUCUUAAAAUAAUUUGGUAUCGAACUCGUAAUUUACUAGAUUCGAAUUACAAGUGAAAACAAUAUUAUUAAAUCGUAGUACUAAGAAAUAGCAUUAGACUUGUUAAUAUAUCAUAUUUUGAACCGGAUCCGAUUUGAAUCCAAUGCAAUUAAUAUGAUAUGGAUCCAUACUUCCAAUCUAAUUAUCUGAAUAAGAUCCGAAUCCAAUAAUCCAAUUAUAAAUAGAUCUAGAUGUUGAUCGAAAUUGAUCUGAUCCAAUAAUAAUACGACUCGUUUACAAGUUUAGAUGCCAUCAUAAUAUUUGAGAUUACAAUACAAUAUAAGUAACAUAGAUAGAGCUCUAGAAUUAAACUUUAAUUACUGUAUCUUUGGUUAAAUCGAAAGGAUGAAAGCUCCUUCCCUCUUGUUGUAGUUUUCUUGUUUUAUUUUUCUAUAAAUAAUUAAUGAAAGGAACAAAGAAAAGAAGUAGCAUCCCACACACUAUCAAAAUAUUUUGAUAUAUGUAUCAAUUUCCUGUAUAAUUAAGUUUUUAAUAAAUUAAAAUAAAACAAGGGGGACAUACCAUGUCAACCCAUGUUAAUCGAGCAAACAAGUACGACACAUGAUGUACUUGAUUGUCCUCUCCAUAUGUAUCAGAAACAGGCUGUGUGACCAAAAAGAAAAUAAAACCAGGGAUUUCCUACUCGCUUCUGAGGAAUCUGGCGUAUGCCAGAGUUUUCUCUAGGGACUAGUUGGGCUUCGCCACUUUAAUUCAUCUUUUUGGGAUUAAAAAAAUUUACGUAGGCAUUUUAAUUUUUCUCUGGCCAUCAUGAUGUGAUUUAUUAGCUCAAAAAAUUGAACUCAGAGCAUACUGUGUAGAAUACAUACUUGAAAUUCGUUGCUGACUACUGUGUCAUCUCGUGAUUGUUGCAUAUGCUCGAGUUUGAAGUUCUUACUUUACCUACCAUCAAUUCCAAUUUUGUCCUGCUGGUUUAUAUUAUGGUCUGAUCAAAGUUUGUUGAGGUAUAGGUGCAUCAUGAAGUAUUAUGAGUGAAAAAGUCACAAAAUUACGUGGUGUUAUUCAUUUAAAAGUUAUAAUAUGUAUUGAUGAACGUUAAAGUUAAAAUGUCAUACAAAUAGAAUAUGGUGUUGAUAAAUAUAUCUAAUAUUCCUGGAAAUUGUCAAUGUCAUACACCAAUUAUAUGUUUUUUAAAAAGCAUUUCAAGUAUGUUUUUACUAAAAAUUGUUUUCGAAGAUAUUUUUCCUAAAAACGUUUACAGUUAUUCUAAAAACACUUUCAAACGAGUUAUAAAUAAAAAAUAAAUUGAACCAAGGCAAAAUCAUUGGCCAAAUAAUCAAAUUGGAGCUAUUAGGCCAUCUCCAACCGAGGGCUGGCCAGAGGGCUCGUUUGAGCCCUCUGGCCCUCCAAGAUUCCCCAAGAUAUUAAUAUUUUAAUGAACAGUACAUGGCCAUAUUUGCCUCCGUCUCCAACCGAGGGCCAGAGGGCCAAAGGGCUUGUUUUAGCCCUGUCACAAAAAACCGUCUCCAACCGAGAGCCAAAGGGCCAUAGGGCCAAACAUAAUUUAUUAUUUAAAAACUACAAUUUAAUGUUGUAUAAAUGGCCUAGGAAGUUAUACGAAAAAAAUAGAAUUGAAAAAAAAUAUGAAACAAAUUUUGUGAAAUAGAAGUUAUAGGAAAAAAAAUAUGAAAAAAAAUUUGAUUCAUAUGAAAAGGAAAAAAAAGGGAACUUUAAUGAAAAGCAUCCGGUACUGUUCACUUUAACGAAAAACCACAUUUUUACACUAAAAAGUCAAUCCUGGUACUAUUCACUUUACCCUUUAUUUUGUCCUUAUCAUUAAAACUCAAAGUUUUCGAGCCCUUUUCAUUAGUUUUCCUGAAAAAAAAGGGAAAAAAAGAAGUUUAAAUUCAUUAAAAAAAAAAAAAAAAAAAGAGAGGCCUAAUAAUCCAACGGCUACUAGCCGUUACAUUAAAAAACAUUUCAAACUAUUAGUGUCGGUUAUAACCGACACUAAUAGUAGAACUAUUUAAAAAAAAAAAGCUCUUUAAUGCUGUCGGUUUUAACCGACAGCAAUAGGAAACAUUAAAAAAAAAAAUAGCCAGCCCCGGGGCUAGCUGGCUGGCCGAAAGCAGCCAGCCCUCCAGCCCUCUCCGAUCCCGUGGGGCCCUCCCAGAUUCCAGAGCCCUCUGGCCUAGCCCUCGGUUGGAGACGGUUUUAGGGCUAUUUUCGGCCCUCUGGACCCUUCGGUUGGAGAUGGCCUUAGCCAGCACCAAUUGGCACAACAAUCCAAACAUGGGAAAAGAGGUCGAGGAGAAAGGGAUAAUUUUUUCAUAUUUUUCUCUACUAAAAUAACUUUUUUUCUUGUCUCCUAUGGUAGUUAUUUAUCAUAUUAUUAACAUAUAUAUCACCAAGAACAAAGCAGUUAAAUAUAUAUGAAACUGUAGAAUACUGAAUUAUUUUUAACUUCAUUUUGUUUAUUGGGAGUGUGCCCCCAUAUUGUUUUGUGAUUAGAUUCACAUAAACGCUCUAUCAAUCUGGAAAUCCAUCGAUCUAAUUCUUUAAAAUAUUCAAAAUACCUAAUAAACUAUUUAAAACAAGCCAAAAGAAGAAUCGAGAUCUCUUCGGAUCUCGAAGCUUACUAGCAUGCCCAGAGAUCCGAGCCGCUCAAGAGAGAGAUUUGAACCCUUAAUUUGUGAAGUGAAGUCCGUAAAAUAAACUAAUGAGAGUCGUAUGAUUUAAAAUGAGUGGUUUGAAUCUCUAGAUCUGUUAACUGCAGAUACAGAGAUCCGCAGAGGAUUUCAAUUUCCAAAAGAAAAACUUUAUUUGAAUGUGCACGGAAUCUCCACCACCGGUAUUUGAACGUUCGAGUAAUUUGAUCGUUUAUAAAAUGAUGGAUUAUACAGCAACAAUGAUGGACCAAAAACAGAUUAAUAGACAGAAAAUUCAUUUAAUAUGAAGCAAAGCAUCUCUUUCUUCUUGUCUUGAGGAAGAUAACAUGGCGUAGGCGCAGGAGAACCAUAAGUUCUGGAUCUUUAUUUUCUCUUUUGGAAUCUUUUAUUUGCAUAAUUUUAUCAAUACAACAUUGGCUUUGCAUAUUUUUAGACAUUGUUAAAUGUGAUGAAGCUUUAUAUGUAUAUGCUAUUUGAAAGACAAUUUGUGGUGCUCGUUUCGUAAUUUGUUUCAAAGAUCCAAACUGUUUAUGUUUUAAUAUAUCAUUCAUAAAUCAUCUUUGCAAAAAAUUAGACAAAACCAUUAUGACAUCCAAUUGUAGCAAGGAAAAUAGAUGAAUAUGAUUUUUCUAAGAAACAAUAAUAUGGCUUUCAUUUAAUCAAACGGUCAAAUAAUUUUGGAUGUGGGUGAUUCCUAGUAAAGAUGAUCUUUAAUGGAAAGCCUAAACAAUGAAUUGCUGAAUCAUUGAAAUACGAUAUAGAGUAAGUCAUACAAAAGAUCUCUCAGAUAAACUUAAUUGAUGAAUCCUUCGACCAAGAGGACUAUAUGCAUGCACACGGAGAAGUGCUCGAAUGCAAUCCGAUUGGUGACUUAACCACUCCAUAUCAUGAUAUUAACCACAUUUUUAACUAGGUCGUCAUUGAAAUCUGGUCCUAGCAAAACUCACUCAAAUCAUAUAAGUGUUUAGUUUUCUAACUGCCUGUGACCUAAAUAAAUAAAUAAACACAAUAUUAUUGAUAAAUUGUGAAUGUAUACGUCCUUAAUCAAUAAAUCAAGACUAAAUAAUAUGAUUUUGUAGUGCCAAUAAUAAUACACCAUAAUGCUAAAUUAUUGAAAAUUCAAGUAAUAGACUAUUGGAGAAACUAAACAACGUGUAGAAGUGUUCUAAUUACUUGUUUCAACUUGCAGACUCUACGAAAGCAACCAAAACUUUCAGGACUCGUUUGGUAGGUCGGAUGUGAUUGGACCUAUUUUUUAAAUAUUUUGUGUGUUGAUACUUGUUUAAGUCAAAAUAUAAAUAGUACACAAACAAGUGACAAAGCAUUUAAAGUUAAUAGAGAAAUUUACAUUGAUAAUUUACCAUUCACACCGUAAUACUCAUUACAAAUUCCAGAACCUACUCCUCUGGUCCCUCUCAAUUUUGCCCAUUUCCAUCACAAUCAUCAUAUAUUGGAUUCUCCUAAUAUUAAUACCUAAUUACAUAAACAAAACCAAGUUGUUCUUUCCUCCUCCAAUCAUUUGAGACUAUGAUGCAAUUCCAAACACCACCAACACCAAAGACUAGGCAACAAAACGAAUUGACCAAUCACCCCCUCUUACCUUACAUCAGGAACGUCACUGUAACAAUAUUUAAAACCAAUAACAUUUUACCAAACGAGAUUAGAGAUAAUUAAAAUACAUAAUAAUGCGUUAAGGUUUUGAAAUACCGAAUCAGUGACAUUCUGGUUAAAGGUAAAAUUUUCUAUUGUCAUCGUUGCCAUUGAUUAGUUAUUAGUAUUGGUGAAGCAUGUCGGCAGUGGCCAUGAUUGGUUGGUUAACAUAAAGCAUGUUCCAAGGGUUUAUGAAGCUGUUGUGAUCGGCAAUCGGGGUGGUUUCAAAGUCUCCGCCGUAACCGUCGCCGGCGUUGAUGUAACCGAGGAUCUCGUUGAGCGACUCCAGUCUCUGGCUGAGCUCCGCCAUCUGCGCUUUCAAGACCGAGUUUUCCGACUCGACAUUCAUGUAGUGCUGGGUGGUGAUGUUUAUGCUGGUCAGGAUUUGAUUGUUCUCCUUCCGCAGCUGGGCGACCUGCGCCGUCAGAUCGUCCAGGUGCUGCUGCUUCCGCAUCCGGGACCGCCGCGCCGAUUCGCGGUUCGACUGCAUCCGUUUUCUCUUUCUUUGAUCAACCAGAUGAUGCAGAUCCCCUUCGGAGCCAGAGUUCUGAAGCUGAGUGGAACCAGAGGAAUUUCCGCUUGAAGAAGCCAUAGAAAUAUAUGCAAACUUAUAUAAAAACUUAGAUUAAACCCUAAACACGAAGAACCAAAUACUAAUUAUUCAGAUAAUUAAGGGCGAUUAUAUAUAUAAUAUAGGUAUUAGGCAGUGCGGGG